rfam:Podospora anserina genomic DNA, chromosome 1.
GGCCGUCUAGCGCAAUGGUAGCGCGUAGCCCUCCUAACAAGGAGAUUAAGGCUAAGGUUGUGGGUUCGAGUCCCAUGAUGGUCG